UUUUUUUUUUGGACUAACAUAAUACUUAAAAGAGAAGCUUUUGUGGGUUUUCCACUCUUCAUCAGAUCUGAAUCAAUAUGAGAGUUUAACACUUAAAACAACGGUUUUAUUAGAGAAAAGAUAGUGGGGUGUCAUAAAUAGCAGGAGAUGUGCCUGAGAUUGAAAGGUGUAGAUUUUUGAGAAUAUCCAGAACAAGUAAAUAAACAGAGGAAACUCUCUCUCUCUCUAUCUAUCUAUCUAUCUCAGAGAAAGGCAUGCAAAAACACAGCUGCUUUUUAUGUGUAUGCAGGGACAGACUGACAGUGGCCUGAGAGAGAGAGACAGUGUAUUUGAUUGUAUGUAAAGUGAAUGUGUAUUUGUAUGUAGUGUCAGGAUAUGUGCAUUCAGAGUAUAUCUGAAUAAAUGUUUUUGGUUUUGUAAAUAGGGUUGUAUUUAUUUUGUCUGUUUGUGUAGCAUG